UCGGUUACAUUAUUGAAACAGAGUGAAAGCGAUGAAGAGAUUUCUAAUUUUAGAAUGUAAAGUCAAAUGUCCAUAAAAGUUAUAUUUUUACAAGAAUAUUAAAGAGAUUUUUUGCUAAAUGUUUAACAAAAAAUGAAAUUACUCUUCAGUAUUGAAAUCAGAGAAGAAAAAACUUACAUAUAGCAAGGUACAGUACUUUCCAUUGUCACUAGCAUGUGAACGUCGCUCAUCAGAGGAAUAUCAGUGUGCGAUUCAGUUUCAAGAUGUCAGAAGUUUCUACCAUAAGAUAUAUUCAACACCUGAUAGUUUCGAACAAAAGUCUUUAUACUUCACUACAUCACAGUAGAAACUACUAAGCGUAAUCCCACGAGUACAGGAUAAUUCCACUCAAAAGAAGGUACAGUACUUUCCAUUGUCACUAGCAUGUGAACGUCGCUCAUCAGAGGAAUAUCAGUGUGCGAUUCAGUUUCAAGAUGUCAGAUGUUUCUACCAUAAGAUAUAUUCAACACCUGAUAGUUUCGAACAAAAGUCUUUAUACUUCACUACAUCACAGUAGAAACUACUAAGCGUAAUCCCACGAGUACAGGAUAAUUCCACUCAAAAGAAGGUAGUGACUACUAAAUAUUGCGUGCCAAAACAUUAACAUGCCCUGAUUGCUCAGAUAUCACUAUUAAUGUUUCUGUUUUUAAGAAUAUAUUCAUAAAAACACUUAGCAUAUCAACAGAUAGGAUUCAACUUCUAGCUGGAUAUGCUUCUCCAGAAGUUAGAGAAGGUAACAAGAAAGCUGAAUGAUAAAUUGUAAAAAGAACAAGUUUAUAAUGUUUCAUUGAAUCUCUACCAUUAAUACUAUUGUACUACUUAUUCAUACUACUGUAUUGUGGGAGAAGCCAAGUCAGUGGGCAGCACCUUUUUAGUGAACUUAGCAUUAAGGUACUGUGAGAGAAGUAUGAAGAAACAUGUGACCUCAUAAUAAUGUAAUAUUGGAGUCUGUUUUUGACACAGAUUACAACAUUGGAUUCGGAUCUCUAUCUGCAGACUUCUGCUCCACAUAUCUUUCUCUAAAGUAGGUUAUAAAAAUUACUAGAGAACCAAAUGAAAAUUUGAUGAAAAAACGGGUGACAUAGUACAAAACGCCACACAAGUUCAACUGUAAUUUUUUAUUGUAACUACUUUUUAACAUCAUUAAUUCAUUGUUAGUUAAAUGUUUUUUGUGUAAAAUAUUUAAAAGGUUUGUAAAAUAAAG